CGUGAGGGAAAGUUGAAAAGAACUUUGAAGAGAGAGUUCAAGAGUACGUGAAACCGUUCAGGGGUAAACCUAAGAAACCCGAAAGUUCGAAUGGGGAGAUUCAUCGUCGAUGACUUUGGCUUUUUGGUGUUUGGUGAUGUUUGAGGACUUCGGUCGUUCGAACACGUCUUCACUGCGAUGUCUGCCGUUGUCGUCGUGCACUUCUCCCCUAGUAGGACGUCGCGACCCGUUGGGUGUCGGAUUACGGCCUGGGUGGUUGCCUGUUGCGUUGCGCGUAGCGUUUGUGACAGACCCCCAGUGUGUCUCUCCAGUCCGACUGCUCGACGGUAUUUUGAGAUAGUAUUCGGCCGCAAUUUAUUUGAAGCGAAAAUUGCGUCUUUGGCUCUUUGCAAGCUGGGUUAGUGUGCUGGGGUACGGACUUUGCGCCGACCUCGGGCCUGCUCAGUUGUUGGCAAACGAUGUCCUCAGACAGGCCGCUUACUUGUUUGCGACGCUUUUGCUUUGGGUAAUCUCAGGACCCGUCUUGAAACACGGACCAAGGAGUCUAACAUGUGCGCAAGUCAUUGGGAUAAUAAAACCUAAAGGCGAAAUGAAAGUAAAUGUCGACCUUGCGUUGGCAAAGGGAUGAUGGGAACCGCAUGCAUAAUGCUGCCCUCGAAAUCCCGGGGCGUCUCACUCUCAUUGCGAGAAGAGGCGCACCUAGAGCGUACACGUUGGGACCCGAAAGAUGGUGAACUAUGCCUGGUUAGGACAAAGUCAGGGGAAACCCUGAUGGAGGUCCGUAACGAUUCUGACGUGCAAAUCGAUCGUCGAAGCUGGGUAUAGGGGCGAAAGACUAAUCGAACCAUCUAGUAGCUGGUUCCCUCCGAAGUUUCCCUCAGGAUAGCUGGCACUCUGUGACUCGAACGACUUUUGAAUCUCACCUGGUAAAGCGAAUGAUUAGAGGCCUUGGGGUCGAAACGACCUCAACCUAUUCUCAAACUUUAAAUGGGUGAGAUCUCCGGU
rnacentral:rRNA from 1 species